AUUGAACGCUGGCGGCAGGCCUAACACAUGCAAGUCGAACGAGUGGCGGACGGGUGAGUAAUGUAUGGGGAACUUCCUGAUAGAGGGGGAUAACUACUGGAAACGGUAGCUAAUACCGCAUACCAUCGGAUGACCCCAUAUGGGAUUAGCUAGUUGGUGGGGUAACGGCUCACCUAGGCGACGAUACCUAGCUGGUCUGAGAGGAGGACCAGCCACACUGGGACUGAGACACGGUCCAGACUCCUACGGGAGGCAGCAGUGGGGAAUAUGGCACAAUGGGCGCAAGCCUGAUGCAGCCAUGCCGCGUGUAUGAAGAAGGCCUUAGGGUUGUAAAGUACUUUCAGCGGGGAGGCGUUACCCGCAGAAGAAGCACCGGCUAACUCCGUGCCAGCAGCCGCGGUAAUUC
rnacentral:rRNA from 1 species